GUAUACAUGUGAUAUUGACACAGUGUCUGGUGUUUACAUUACUAAUCAUCAUAUUCAAAAGAGACAUUUGCUAAAGGCAGAUUCUCGAUGAGUGGUAGCAGACUGCAAUUUCUCUGUGAAUUAAUAAGCUUUAAAUUAACCAAAUUGAAUAUUUAAAUAUUUAUGUUUAUGUAUGUAGAAAUACAUUCUUCCUAUUUUCAUAAAUGUGUAUAAGACCCUUGUUAAAUCAAUAUUCAUUAUUACAUGUACUCAAUCCAGUAUUCUGUAUAUCAAUAUCCUUUAAUGUAUACAUAUAGCAAUAAGAGUGCGUGAGAAGCAUACAUGUCUACACUAAUACAAUCUACAUGUAGCUCUAUAUUCAUAUGGAGUUUAUGUUAACAACAUAAUGGGCAUAUAACACGUCUGGUUAUAGACAUCUUCUUUGUAAACGAUGCAUACUUUUAAAAAUGCAUAUGGAAUUUGCAACCAGUUUUGAAAAGAAAUCAAAACCCGUUUCUCCUGUCUUCAUAAUAUCUAAAGAUGACGCCCAUUUGAAUAAGCUUAAUACUCGUCUAAUAAAAGCUUGCAUAUUUGAAUAAAAUACUGAAAAA
rnacentral:misc_RNA from 1 species